rnacentral:misc_RNA from 1 species
AAGUCGGUAACAAGGUUUCCGAUAAGGUGGAACCGUGCGGAAGGAUCCAAUUGACAUUUAGGGUAGCCGUAGCUGCUAUCAGUGGGGUUCGUUAGCCUGCAUAGCUUAAUCGCUGAUGAGCAGCAGACCCCCUGUUUGUACCCUUGUUUUUGCGUACCAAAGUUUCCUCGGCGGGCUUGCUCGCCGGAUGGACAAUACUAUAACCUUUUUAAUAUUCAAUCAGCGUCUGAAAACUUGAAUAAUUACAA